UACGUAGGGACCGAGCGUUGUCCGGAUUCAUUGGGCGUAAAGGGCGCGUAGGCGGCGGGGUAAGUCUGGUGUGAAAUCUAGGAGCUCAACUCCUAAACUGCACUGGAUACUGCUCUGCUAGAGGACUGGAGAGGAGACUGGAAUUCACGGUGUAGCAGUGAAAUGCGUAGAUAUCGUGAGGAAGACCAGUGGCGAAGGCGGGUCUCUGGACAGUUCCUGACGCUGGAGGCGCGAAGGCCAGGGGAGCAAACGGG
rnacentral:rRNA from 1 species